GGACAACCGCGGAGGCCGCAGAAGGACUAGGCAUGGAUGGCAGCCGGAGAGAGCCACCACUGUCCUUCCCAGAUACAGCCCGCCAUGCCUAUUUACAGGACACUUGAGCACCAAGAGCAAUGCUUUUUGCACUGACUCCUCUUCUCUCAGACUAACCACUCUCCAGCUGAUCAAGAAUCACAUGGCUGUUCACUAUAAUAAAAUCCUUUCAGCCAAAGCCGCGGUGGAUUGCUCAAUUCCAGUAAGUGUGAAUGCUAGCAUCAAAUAUGCUGACCAACAACGAAGAGAGAAACUGAGGAAGGAGUUGGCACGAUGUGAAAAGGAGUUUAAAUUAAGUAAAUCUGCGAUGCAGACCAAUUCUAAGAUGAAUUCCAAGUUCUUUGUAAACUCUCUACAGAGGAAUUCUAAAAUGAUGUAAAAUUUCCACUGCAAACAUGGGCAGGAAGUUAGGUCCCUAAGGCCUGCAGUCUCCACUGAGUGCCAGGGUUCAAGAUGGGCAAGUCACCAGUU
rnacentral:lncRNA from 1 species